rnacentral:lncRNA from 1 species
CAAACGUUUGUCACUACUCGCUGCUUACAUGUAUGAUACCAGAUUUCAGAAUAACCUUGCCUUUUGAAACUACGAUUUCUAGAGCAAUUUUCUUCUUCUGAUGUGAACGAGUAGAUAAGCUAUGAAUGUUUUGAGAAUAUGUACCCUCAUCUCGACAUUCAUAACUCAUCCACUCGUUCCCAACUUCCCACCCAACCGAACACGAAAUUCCCACCUAAAAUCCUGCUCCAAUUAAUAGUUCCAGCAUAGAAAGCUUGGAAACAUGCUUAACCUUUUUUCGUGCGCCCUUUCUUUUUCCAAAUAGUCCUUCAAGAUACGAUGGUCUGGAAACCCGACAACCUUGAAAGAUGUACCUCACCAUGUGUGCAAAUCCUUUGUCUCCACAUUAAAUAUUAUUCAACGUCGUUGCACGUUUCAUUCAGCUAUCCCUGUUGGACGAUAAAGUCUGGUUCACACUGGUCGUUUUACACUAUCAAAGUUUCUGUGAUCUCAGUAGGAAUUUUGCAUUGGUAAAUUCUAUGUUUUGAAGGAUUUGUAUACAGAAAUGUUUGAACAAACUGACUCAAUGUUAGACACUGAGUCAGUUCCUUCAAACAUUUCUAACAAAUCCUUCAAAACGUACAACUUACCGAUGCAAAAUUCCUACUGUGAUCACAGAAACUUUGAUAGUGUAAACCAGGCUUAACCCUAUUUGGGUCAACUAUAAUAUUUCGGUUUAAAUUUCUUGGUUAUUUUAACUUUUUCCCACUAUAGUUGGGUUAAAUUGACCAGACUAUAUGUUGGGUGGAUAAAUAACCACGGCUCAGGUUAUAUCCACCCAUAGCAUAGUCUGGUUAGUCUGGUUAUUUUAACAGAGACGUCUUGGGUCAUAUAUAACCAGAUUCCUGGUUACAUUAACCAGACUAUGGUACGAAGUG